AGAGGCCUAAUACAAAAUAAUCGCUUCUCUAUACAUUUUCUCGCUUGCGAGUGCGCACGUGGCGUUAAACUGGUGAGAAUCAUCCCCUACCAUCGCCACGUACCAUUCCUCUGCCAUCACCUUUCUCCUUCUCUCUUUGCACUCCCUCCACAUCUUCUCUUUAAAAAACCAGGCAACUCUUUCCCAAUCUUCCCUCCAAUCCAUAUCAUUUCUUUCUCUUUCUGUUGCAAGAUUCCAAGUUAGGAUCAACAACACUUGCACGCUUAUUAAUUCAUUAGAGAUUGUGGAGAUCAAAUUCAAGAGGAUGGCUGCAGCGGACAGGUGGUGCCGUGCUGGUGUAGUGAGGAUGCGAUGGAAAAUGCGAAAGACAGAGUGAAUGUGGCGGCAGGAAACGUGGAGGUUCGGCGUAAGAGACGAAGCAGAGCGCAGCGAGGCCAUGCAGGAUGCCAAGGAAAAAGCCGAAUCCUGAUUUGACUGAGCUUCUGGAAAGCUCUCAGACCUUACAAAAAUGAGAUAUGGCUUCAAAUUAAAUAUGGCUACAAAGAAGGAGGUGAUGCCGAAGAGGCAAUGACAUGGAGGACGGAAAAGAGAAAGUUGAUCAUGUUCAUGAUGAAGCUAAGCCGCAAUUUAAUACGGAUUCAGACAUGGCCUUAAAUAAUUAAGACUAGCAAGGCUCAGGAAGCAAUAGGGUAAGAAAGAUGGGUGGAUGUGUUUGAUGAAGCUUUAAUUUAGACAAGUUCAGUGAGGUAAAAGGACGCCAAGAAACAAUUUGUUUUCUGGGAAAGCCCAUGUAUGAAGCUGCCAAGGAGAGGAUGUCAAUGGCAAAUGGUGAUCAAAUGAGAAAGCCACUUACAUCCAUGACGAAGCUAAGCAGAAAAUUACCUGGCUUCAGGCAUAGCAUGAGGCUAGUAAGGCGAAGGAGGCAAUGCAAGGAGCUAUGAGGUAUUGUAUGGAAAGAGAUGGAUGCCUGAAGCUGUAAAUAAUGCAGGUGAGGCAUACAGCAGGUCAGCCAUUGUGGACGCAACUUUUCAAGGGAAGUCUUAAGUGUGAAGCUGCCAGGUUGAGUAUGUCAAAGGCCACUAGUGAUAUUGGAGCCAAGAUGCGAGAAUAUACUGCAGAUUGUUCAUGCUAUCUUAAACUGUGAGUCAUCGGAAGAAAAUAUUUUAAAGUUUCCUUCUAAUUUAAUUCUCGUAACAUUUUCUCUAAAAAAGAAUCUUGUCCAAUUACUUUUAUCUUGUGAAAAUCAGGUUCAAAUUCAAGAUGAUUUGGUUUUAUG